rnacentral:sRNA from 1 species
GGAUGACCCUGAUAGCAACGGUGCGCU